rnacentral:misc_RNA from 1 species
GAUGAGAACGCAGCGAAAUGCGAUAAGUAAUGUGAAUUGCAGAAUUCAGUGAAUCAUCGAAUCUUUGAACGCACAUUGCGCCCCUUGGUAUUCCGAGGGGCAUGCCUGUUCGAGCGUCAUUAUAACCCCUCAAGCUUAGCUUGGUGUUGGGGCCUGCUGUAAUAGAGCAGCCCUUAAAAUCAGUGGCGGUGCCAUUAGGCUCUAAGCGUAGUAAUUCUUCUCGCUAUAGGGUUCUGGUGGAUGCUUGCCAUUAACCUCUAAUUUUCUAUGGUUGACCUCGGAUCAGGUAGGGAUACCCGCUGAACUUAAGCAUAUCAAUAAGCGGAGGA